rnacentral:rRNA from 1 species
UACAGAGGUCUCAAGCGUUGCUCGGAUUCAUUGGGCGUAAAGGGUGUGUAGGUGGCGCGCUAAGUCGGGUGUGAAAUUUCGGAGCUUAACUCCGAAACUGCAUUCGAUACUGGCGUGCUUGAGGACUGGAGAGGAGACUGGAAUUCAUGGUGUAGCAGUGAAAUGCGUAGAGAUCAUGAGGAACACCAAUUGCGAAGGCAGCUCGCUGGGACGUUACUGACGCUGAGACGCGAAAGCGUGGGGAGCAAACAGG